CACCCCCUACUGGGGAUGUGCCCACAACCCAGGUACAUGCCCUUGACUGGAAUCAAACCUGGGACCCUUCAGUCCACAGGCUGAUGCUCUAUCCACUGAGCCAAACCGAUUAGUGGGAUAAGCUGGAAUUUUAAAUCAACUUUUGACUUCAAGCCAGGCUUCUUCAGUAAUAACAAUAACAGCAGCCGUAGCAGUAGUUAAUUAUAUAGGGUUUACUAUAUGCCAUGCACUGCUCUAAACACUUUACAUACAUGAACUAACUUAAUCCACAGCUCUGUGGCAUAGAUACUGUUAUUAUUCCUAUUUUACAGAGGAGGAUAUUGAGGCACAGAAGUUAAAUAAACUUGCCCAGAGUCACACAGCUGGAAAAUGGCAGAGUCCGGAUUCAAACUCAGGCAGUCAUCUCCAGAAUCUAGACGGCUAACUAUGGCUUCGCACUGCCUUGGCAUGCUCUACCACUGUCUUCCUCAGCAGGAUCAGGAGGGAAGGACACUAGCAGUUACUGGUUAUACUUUUAUGUACUGUGAUAGAUUGUAUGGUUGCUAAAAUAUUUAUUUGGCCUGUCCCUAUGGAAGCACUGUACUUUGCAUUAGCUUGGCCAUGACUUGCUUUGGCUGUUGAAAUGUGAAUGCAAGUGAUGGCAUUUCUGAGCAGUUCUGAGAGCCCCUGAGAGGUUCCGCCAUCUCUCUAUUCCCUUUGCCAUGAGACCUGCCUGUCCCAGACGGAAGCCACUUCUUCAGUAUUGCUCUUGGAAUAAAGAUUUGGAGCAGAGCACAGCUGACAUGCUGAGGAUGUGAACAUGAACAAGUACCCUUGGAUGUUGUAAGCCGUUGACCUCUGGGAGUCAUUUGUUUCCAUAGCAUAACUCAGCCUAAGCAGAUUUAUACAUGUACAUUAAAAUUUAUUUAAUCCUCUCAAGACCCUUCUAGGUAGGUAUAAUGAGUUCCAGGAAGAAACUAAGACUCACAGUUUCACUAAGUUGCUCAGUGGUAUGGACUGAAUAUUCGUGUUACCCAAAAUGUAUAUGCUAAAGCCCUAACCCACAAUGUAAUGGGGGCGGUUGGGAAAUAAUUAGGGUUAGAUACAGUCAUGUGAGUGGGGCCUCAUGAUCGGCUUAGUGCUCUUAUGAAAGAUACCAGAGAACUUCUCCCUCUCUCUUUUCCCCUACCCCCCAAGUGCAGAAGAGGUCAUUAUGGUCACAUGAUUAUAUUUUCUUUCUAAAAAUACCCUUUAAUGGCACAGAGUGAAAUAAAUCAUAGAACCCUCUCCUCUUUCUGAUAGAUGAGGAAGUAAGAGUUAAGGGAUGGGAUUGGACAGUUCAGCAUUGGCUGUUGCAUAGAUUCACUCACUGAACCCCCACUAGUGUCAAGUCUGGGCGCAGCACUUCAUUGUAGUCCCCGUGGGAGGAUUCAAUAGGAGGUGCUCAGGGGACACCACGUAGGGCCUAGGACAUGGUGAGGACCAGGGUUGUCUGACAUGCUCCAUGCCACUGUCUUCACCUCUCUUGGAGUCAUCAACCCCCUUUGAGAAUCCAUGUGGAUCUUCCACCCCCACAUGAACAUUUAGCAUAAAAUUUCAAUCUUAGAGGAACUGACAGGUGGAAAAUCUGCAUGAGAUAGUCCUCAUUCAGACCUAUGAGGAGGAGGGAGGAUGGAAGGGAGGGAGAACAAGAGAGGCAGCAGUGGGGAGUGGGACAUCUGUUGAUUUCUCUUUCUUAUGAUGCUGGGACAUCAGGGCAAUGCCAAUAUAUUAAAUAGUGAUACUUUUCCCCACUCCUGUGCACAUACAAAAUUAAUAAAAUUGUUUUCCUUUCUUCCUGUUAAUCUGUCUUUUGUCCAGUUAAAUACACAAACCAGGUUCACUAAACUUAAAGAGGGAGAAGUAGAGUUUUCCUUCACACAUUAAGGCUGACAUCACUAGCUGAGCAGGAUACCUUUUCCCACUGAGCAAAAUGUGGUCUCGCGAUCUCAACCCAGUGUACCAAGUUGUCACACAAGGUGAAACCUACCAGCCAAUUCUGGCUGAGGCAAGUCAUCAAGAAGACCUUGAAUAAAUGAAGAUCUACCCGCCCCCCUCCCCCCCCC